CAGUCGCCACGGUAAUACAGAGGGUGCAAGCGUUAAUCGGAAUUACUGGGCGUAAAGCGCGCGUAGGUGGUUCGCCAAGUUGGAUGUGAAAUCCCCGGGCUCAACCUGGGAACUGCAUCCAAAACUGGUGAGCUAGAGUACGGUAGAGGGUAGUGGAAUUUCCUGUGUAGCGGUGAAAUGCGUAGAUAUAGGAAGGAACACCAGUGGCGAAGGCGACUACCUGGACUGAUACUGACACUGAGGUGCGAAAGCGUGGGGAGCAAACAGGAUUAGAUACCCCCGUAGUCCCUGUCUCUUAUAC
rnacentral:rRNA from 1 species